GGCCUCAGUCCCAAUGGCUGGUGACUGGGUUCCAAUGGUUGAUGGCUGGGUUACAAAGGUUGAAGACUUGGACGUUGUCUCCACAAUGAUUCUUUGAGGCAACACUGACAGAAGAAAGGGAAAGAGCAGACCUGAGAGGGUCCCAAGGGCCCUUCGUGGCCCAGGCAAGCUAUCUCCACGCCAACCUUCCCCAAACCCAGGCCUUCCAGGAGAUAAUCAGGACCCUAACUGCAGGAAGCAUGGUCCAGGUGAGCAGUGGCCACGCCCAGGACAGGAAGCCACACCCCCAUGGCCGGAAUCCACAUCCCACAGGGAAGUUUUAACCCGCAGGCCACGCCCUGAAGAUGGCUGUACCCCAAACCCACGAAACUGAACCCCACACUUCUGUCGACUCCCCAGCACUGACCUGUGACUUCAAAAUGGAUGAUCGUGGAUGGGCCAUGUCGCUCAGUGCCCAACUCGCAGCGGCCCUUCUUUGCUAACAGGCAGGCUUCAGUCUCCGCCCUGUCAAGACUCCCUCUCUCCUCCGGCUCCGCCUCUCCUGCGCCAACCCCUCCCGUUGGCCCCAGCCUCUCACCUCCGCAAUCUGUGGACUUUCGACAAAGGUAAAGGUGCUUUCUGCAUAUGUGGCACCAGAGCAGAAGCUGCAACAUCGUACCUGAGGGGAGAGAUCAAGGCUCUAUUUAUCCUAACAGAGGAGACUAACAGUAGAGGGCAGGGUCAAGGGCUGGGGAGGGAUCAGGCGCCUAAUCCCUAGAGGUCAGCCCAAGGGGCGGGGCUAGAAGGCAGACCUGCCUGAAGAGGGAUCUAACCGGGCUCAGUGAGGAGCCCACAAGGAAUAGGACCCGUUGCCCAGGAGUCUGCUGUGCAGAAGGACUACUGGGGACCAGGAACCUCUCAGACGUGGGGAAGGAAGAACCAUCGAGACCCAAAGCAGGAGGAGAAAGGCUGGGUAUUCACGGGGCAAGGAUGAAGGAUAAAAAAACCAUCUUCCAU